rnacentral:rRNA from 1 species
AUGGCUCAGUGAGGCCUUGGGAUUGGCCAGGGGAGACGGGUAACCAUCACCCCAGGCCGAAAACUUGGUCAAACUUGGUCAUUUAGAGGAAGUAAAAGUCGUAACAAGGUUUCCGUAGGUGAACCUGCGGAAGGAUCAUUACCGAGUUAGGGUUCUCUCCCGAGGCCCGACCUCCCAACCCUGUGUCUAAUAAACCUGUAUGUGUUGCUUCGGCGGACCGGCAGUCCCCUCACGGGGGUCCGUCGCCGGGGGGAGAACGGUCUCACAGGCCGCCCCUGGAGAGUGUCCGCCGAUGGCCCAACCAAAAAAACUCCCAAACCCAAACUGUCGUACCUAAAACUUCUGAAUCAGACUUUUUUUGAUGUACCAAUCAAAACACAAAACUUUCAACAACGGAUCUCUUGGUUCUGGCAUCGAUGAAGAACGCAGCGAAAUGCGAUAAGUAAUGCGAAUUGCAGAAUUUCCGUGAGUCAUCGAAUCUUUGAACGCACAUUGCGCCCUUUGGCAUUCCGAAGGGCAUGCCUGUUCGAGCGUCAUUAUCCUCUCUCAAACCUCGGGUUUGGUGUUGGACCGCGUUGGACCGGCCCACGGCCAACUGGUCUCAAAGACAAUGACGGCGUCCCAGGGACCCUCUUCGCACUGAGCUUUCCGGAGCACGCGUCGAGUUUUCACGGGCCCAGGGACCCGGUCACCCCUAAAAUUUCUUAAGGUUGACCUCGGAUCAGGUAGGAAUACCCGCUGAACUUAAGCAUAUCAAUAAGCGGAGGAAAAGAAACCAACAGGGAUUGCCUCAGUAACGGCGAGUGAAGCGGCAACAGCUCAAAUUUGAAAUCUGGCCUCACGGUCCGAGUUGUAAUUUGUAGAGGAUGUUUUGGGCACCGCUCCGGGUUAAAUUUCUUGGAACAGAAUGUCAAAGAGGGUGAGAGUCCCGUCUUGGCCCGCGGUAGGACCUAUGUAAAACUCCUUCGACGAGUCGACUUGUUUGGGAAUGCAGGUCAAAAUGGGUGGUAAAUUUCAUCUAAAGCUAAAUAUUGGCCAGAGACCGAUAGCGCACAAGUAGAGUGAUCGAAAGAUGAAAAGCACUUUGAAAAGAGAGUUAAACAGUAUGUGAAAUUGUUGAAAGGGAAGCGCUGGCAACCAGACUCGAGCGCGGUGUUCCCCCUUGCUUCUGCGUGGGUUAUUUCACCGUGACCGGGCCAUCAUCAGUUUUGGGGGUUGGUUAAAGAUUUGGGGAAUGUAUCCUCUCCUUCGGGGGAGGACUUAUAGCCCUGGAUGUCAUGCAGCCUCCCGGGACUGAGGAACGCGCUUCGGCGAGGAUGAUGGCGUAAUGGUUGUCAGCGACCCGUCUUGAAACACGGACCAAGGAGUCUAACAUCUAUGCGAGUGUUCGGGUGUCAAACCCUUGCGCGGAAUGAAAGUGAACGGAGGUAGGAAGGCUUGAGCCUGCACUAUCGACCGAUCCUGAUGUCUUCGGAUGGAUUUGAGUAAGAGCAUAGCUGUUGGGACCCGAAAGAUGGUGAACUAUGCGUGAAUAGGGUGAAGCCAGAGGAAACUCUGGUGGAGGCUCGCAGCGGUUCUGACGUGCAAAUCGAUCGUCAAAUUUGCGUAUAGGGGCGAAAGACUAAUCGAACCAUUUGUUAAUUAAGCCUGCAACGUUAAAAAAGUGUGCUAUUUUGGAAGCCUUUAGAGAGUGUACAGGCCUAGGAGGUGUUGUGUCAUGCCUCCUAGUGCUUUUGAUAAGAUAAUGACGCGCCCGCCUCUUGUCCCGGGGGGUGGUGCAGCAAAGCGAACGGGUAUAAAGUCCCAACCGGGUCUUGACGAGGGGUCCAAAACACUGUCGCUAAAACGGCGGAAGGUCGAUCCUGAGCUUGAACCAGAGGAUAAGAUCUCAGGGGCCAAAGAUAUAUCGUCGCACUCAAGUGCGACCGGAGGGGAGGGUAAACUCUCCGGUGCUGAGUUCCUUCGGGCACUGACCGACCGUGAGGCUAUUGCCUUGUGGAAAGUAGUAGAUGAGCAAUAUAACUGGAAGCACACCACUGGCCUUGACGUGGCCGAUUACUCCGUACUCCGUGGUCUUCGGGCCCGGCAAGACGGUGCCACGCAUUCGGGAGGUGGUGGGUUGAGCUCAUCCGGUGCACACGGGCAGGAACCGAAAUCAUGUCUGACCAUCAACGGUGGCAGGUCGAUUGAUGGGCAGGGCCGAGAUGCGCCAUGGCCAAAGUGCGGCGUGCACUUUCGGAGGAGAAUUGGACCAGAUUUGAGUCGUUGGGGACAACUGGGUCAAAGAAGAAGGUCGCUUUUCCAGGUGCAUCACGUAAGGUACAAUGCUGACGUUACACGUCGGCACUUGAAACCCCUACCGUUGGAUGCAGGCAAAGGGGGGAGUAUCUCUCACCUCUGUGACCAGUCCGGGUGUGUCCGGCUCAGCCACCUUGAAGUGAGCACUAGACACAUAGACAACCUGGUGCGCCAACGAUGCCGCGGUGCGACGAUUAUAUACGUGGGGGACACAAUCCUCCUUGAAAAGCCCUGUGCUCAUGCGCAGGCUGGUCUGGAACCUGAGGCCACUCUGAUGAAUUCUUGCUUGGGCAAAAUCGCCCUUAUGUGCUUGGACGAGGUCAGCGCCAGUGACUUCAGCCUUGUCAAGUCAGGCCGUCUUUAAUUUGGGCACCUUUAGUAGCUUUUAGUCUAUCAUCAAAUCUGUAUACAUCUCAAUGACCGAGACACAUUUUGUAGAGGGCAAUUUUGGGCCUGGGGGUGUAUAAUUAUAAUAGCAUAUCUUACCGCAGUAGCUACUAGGUGGUUAAGAAUCAGUAGUUAAAGUACUGGUUAGUCACGAGUCCGUGGCGAGGUCGUCAAAUUGCGGGGACACCCUAAAGCCUAAGGUACCGCCGGCUGCUCUGAAAGGUGCGGUUGGCACCAUGGGGAAACUCAUGGGUAUGGUAACAAUCCAAGGGAUGAUUAGAUUAGUCAUCUGAUCGUUGUAAUGGGCAAUCCGCAGCCAAGCCUUCUCCCCUUACGAGGGGAGUGGGUGCAGUUCAUCGACUAAAUGUCGACCGGGCUUUUGGCAGUGCGUAAGUACUGCUAAGGGUCACAAGGUAUAGUCAGGCCCCCGAGGAAACUCGGGCAGAGGGAAAAAGUUUAGGGAGUUGGACUCCUGCUGUUCAGCAGGCUCUCUUUACCCGAGCCCUUCUGACCGGCCCAUGAAUAGGGUCGGUGGACAGAGAUUACAUCCCAGAGGACGUGUACCAGGUUUUAUUUAUAAUUGUGUAUUUUUAUCUGGACCGAACUCGGGGGUGGCGUCU